AUUGAACGCUGGCGGAAUGCUUUACACAUGCAAGUCGAGCGGCAGCGCGGCCUUCGGGCUGGCGGCGAGCGGCGAACGGGUGAGUAAUGCAUCGGAACAUGCCCAGUCGUGGGGGAUAACACUUCGAAAGAAGUGCUAAUACCGCAUACGUCCUGAGGGGGAAAGCGGGGGAUCGCAAGACCUCGCGCGAUUGGAGUGGCCGAUGUCAGAUUAGCUAGUUGGUGGGGUAAAGGCCUACCAAGGCGACGAUCUGUAGCUGGUCUGAGAGGAUGAUCAGCCACACUGGGACUGAGACACGGCCCAGACUCCUACGGGAGGCAGCAGUGGGGAAUUUUGGACAAUGGGGGCAACCCUGAUCCAGCCAUUCCGCGUGAGUGAAGAAGGCCUUCGGGUUGUAAAGCUCUUCCGGCAGGAACGAAACGGUGGGCUCUAACAUAGUCCGCUAAUGACGGUACCUGAAGAAGAAGCACCGGCUAACUACGUG
rnacentral:rRNA from 1 species